rnacentral:tRNA from 1 species
AGCCAGUGUGGCAUAGUGGUUUGAGCAUUGGAUUGCGACUCUGGAGACCAGAGUUUAAUUCCCAGCUUGGCUA